CUUUUUAGGUUCCAGUAUGUAUGGUUUUUCUUUUUUAGUUCCUUAUAUUAAAAACCUGUGGUAUGCACUGUGUGACAUAACUGUAAUGUGAUUAUUAUUUUUUUUUUUCUCUUCCUGCAAUACAAACCUCAUGAUUAAAAUGGCAUCUAAUGCAUGUUCAGGAGUUUCAUGGAAGGAACCCAACUUAAACAUCUGAAACAAUACAAAGUUAUCUGUCGAAAACGGAGUAAGCAAAUAUUAAAUAUGACAAGAACAGGAUAGCCAGAAGUUUUGGCAUACUCUCAUACAAAAGUUAAACUUCCCUAGAAGUGAAAGGAGAGAAGUGGAAUCGGUGCAAUCGGCUAAAAGGAAAUAGGUUUACCAGUUUGGGGAAAAGGGCUGAGAACCCCAUAACCACCGGACCAGUGACUUGUCUGACCCUUGAGAUUUUGGACUGUGACCCUCUGUAAUCACUUACCCUUCAAACUUCUGAACUCUCUGACAGAACCUGGAGAUGCUAAUCGCUUCAACAUCAAGAGCACAUUGGUCAACAGUGAAUGGGAGAACGAGCUUCAUAACUGCAGUAGCAUUCAUCCUGCCGAAUUUCAGUGGGGGGUUUACCGGCAGAGGAAGACAUGGA